rnacentral:rRNA from 1 species
GGUGCAUUGUGUUGUGUGUGUGUGUUGUGUUUUGUGUGUUUGUGUUGUGUUGGGGGGGUGGUGUUGUUGGGUGGGUGGUUUGUUUUGUUGUGUUGUUUGUGUGUGUGUUUUUUGUGUUUGAGUGCCAGUACAUGUACGGCUAUCCUCUCCAUGCUGUAGUAGGUGGUGCAGCAGUGUCCUGUGCUUGUACUAGUACAAGGGAUCACUGUACCAGUGCACCGAUACGGAGUACAGUAGUCCUCGUAGUGAUGCUAUGCAUUCCCUGCACGUGGUCUACGUCGUCCUACUACUUCACCUUGGUGGUACUUAGUACUAGCUGCUCGUGUAGUACAGCGACUACGUGUCUCGUUGUUCUGUACUCACUACUAAGCAGUAGCAGGAGGAGUACAU